CAAGUUAGAACUUGAAUAAGUGUUUUAUUUACAUUAAAAUGAUAGUUAAUUUAUUAGCUUAACUUGA
rnacentral:tRNA from 1 species